rnacentral:misc_RNA from 1 species
AACGUAGGAGGCAAGCGUUAUCCGGAGUUACUGGGCGUAAAGCGCGUGCAGGUGGAUGGUUAAGUUACUUAUGAAAGCUCCCGGCUAAACUGGGAGAGGUUGAGUGAAACUGGCUAUCUUGAGUGGAUGAGAGGUAAGUAGAAUUCCUUGUGUAGUGGUGAAAUGCGUAGAUAUAAGGAAGAAUACCAGUGGCGAAGGCGACUUACUGGCAUCCAACUGACACUCAGACGCGAAAGCAUGGGUAGCGAACGGG